GCCUUAGUUCUUGCAUCUGUAAAAUCAGCCCUAGGCUCAUUAGAACCUCCCGUGGAACUUGUUAAAAGCAGGUGGUGAGGCGCUGCCCCCAGCCGGAGAUUGCGCGGCUUCCGGCGUGGUGGGGCGGGGUCGCGGCUCAGGUGUGUCCGCUCGAGGUGCCCGCGGGGCUAAGUGUGCUCGCGGGCAGUUGCAUCCCCGCUGCGCUGGACGCCGCCGGACUAGCGUCUGAUAAUGUCUGUUGGCAUAUGGCAUGAAAUAUGAUAGACUUCUGCCUUUUGUGUCACCGACUCUGCUGCUUCAAGAUUUCAAAGAGUUCCAGGAACGUUUUGAAGGCUGAUUCUUUACCGCGGAGCCUCCAGGGAGCCCAUACUGUCUAGUUUUGUUAAAGUACAAUUUUCAACAAAGUGAAAUAACUGUCACAUAGAUAUAAAAUGAACUUGACGCUGGAGAAAACAAACAGCUGGAUUCAAUUGUGAGGAAUGGAACUUCAGAAGCUGCAUCUUACCUGAGAGAAAUACUCUUCUGAGAUACGUGCAGCCCACUCGAUGCACUGCUCCAGGGGCCGGCAGGGGUUGGACACGUCAGCACACUUGAUCAGCAUCCUUUUGAUCAGAGUCCGGUUCUCUGGAGCCCUGAGCAUGAUGAGGAUGCCAGGACUCUGAGAGGUGAAGAGACUCAGCCAGAGGUACUGAGCUGGCCCAGGAUAAAUGCGUGAGCCCUGCCUCUAGUCUGGACUCUUGUCUCUCCACAGUAGUGCCUGUGUCUGACUCACAGGGAGCCCUUCUGGAUAUGGAGCCUCAGCCCAUGGGGUGAGGGGCUCCUGAAACAAAUUCAGGUUGGAAGAGUGAGUACUGGGUCAAAGACAUGAGCAAGCAUCUCCUCUGAUUCUGAGCCACCAAGCAGCUUCCAGAGGAGUCAGCCACGUGGUUUCUGUGUGUGACUACUGUUCUGUACUGCCCGCUGGGUGACUAUUUUCUUCCACCUGCUAUGACCCACUGGAUCCUGGUUUCCAGUCUCUCAGUAAAAAUCCAAGUAGUGACAGCAGAGAGGAGGAACGUGACUGUCAAGGAGAAUGAAGACUCUGCUGAGUCUGGCAACUUCCCAGAAUGAACGGAGGAAGCCAAGUCUGCGAGGACACAACGGGACUGAACCUUGAAAACAUCAUGCUUGUGAAAGAAGCCAGACCCAGAAGACCACUUCCUGGGGUGCUUCCAAUCGUCUGAAAUGCCCAGAACUCACAAAGCUACGGAGGCGGAAGGUAGAUCUGCGACUGCCUACCGGGGGACAGGAGAGUGACUGCUCGUGAGUUCGAGGUUCCUUUGGGGGUGAUGGAAAUGUUGACUAUACGGAAGACUGCACAACUUGGAAUAUACCAAAAACCCCACACGCUUUAAACGGGUGAACUGUAUAGUACCUAAUUAUAUCUCAACAAAUUGUUUUUUAGAGAGCAAAAGGAAACAU